rnacentral:tRNA from 9 species
GCGCUCUUAGCUCAGCUGGAUAGAGCAUCGGUUUUCUAAACCGAGGGUCGGUGGUUCGAGUCCACCAGAGCGCACCA